ACGAUUGUUGGUUGGUUUUGCAAAAGCUGAUUAGGGUUAUUAUUUGUGCCCCGUGUUUUGUUUGUUUAAUUGUGGCAAUAGGAAGUUUUGUUUCAUUGACUGCAUGAAGUGUGUUUAUGAUUUGUGGGUUAUGUUUUCUGGUUAUUUUAUCAGCAGUUGGUUUUUUGUUAAGAUGGGAAUCUUAUAAGGGUGAUACAAUUUAAGGGGAUAGGUCACAGUGCCAGCAUCUGCGGUUAAUCUGUUUUCUUUGCUUUUGUGUGGAUUAUGCGUAUUUAUUUAUGUGCAAUGUUAGGUUAAAUUUUUUUGUGACAGUGUGUGGUAAAUAGGUUUUGUUAUGAUAUAUAUAAUGACAGGGAUUAGAUACCCCAUUAAUGUAUUUUGUAAAGUUGUUCUAGUUUUGUAACUA
rnacentral:rRNA from 1 species